GCAAGAGAGGCAAGUACUGAAAAGCAUUAAUACUUCCCUAUUAUACAAAUAUACCCUUUAAUAUCUUUAUCUUUAGCAGCAGUAUCUGAAAACACCACAAGAGGGUGACAUUACUCUUUAAAAAUAAAUCUUUAGUUCCAAUAGCAUAAACAGUCUUCAGUUUCUUAAAGCAAAAACUGAAAUGUUCGUCUUGCUUUUGUUUUUCUUUCUUUUUUUUUGUUUUUAAGUGUUUUAAAAGCACAUGUGAGAUUCCUAGAAUAUAUAACUGUGGAAAUCACAUAAAAGAGUGAUUUUCCAAGUUCAUAUAUUACAAUCUAUGACAUAUUUUAAAAUAGCAGUGUGAAUAAAUGAAUCAACUAGAGCUUUGGCAAAUAUUGAUAUCUCACUCUUAAAAUUCCUGACCCAAAAUUACUGUGGCUCAUCUGUUAUGUUUACACACAAAUUUUUUUGUGUGUGGAACUUCACCAUUUGGACUUCCCUUGGCUGUCCUUGAUAACAAUUUGCAGAAUGAUUUUAUAUAUCAGAAUAACUUAGAAUAUCUUGAUAUCAAAAGAGACUGCACUGAUGAUUCCAACUAUAUUAAAGAGAUGACUUGUUUCAGGCUUAUAUUUAUAAGUGUCAAAUGCUUAGAAUUUAAACUAGUAAAACAUUCUAAAGUAAUUAUGUAUGUCUUCUGAAUUUAUCAGAUUUUUUAUUUUCCCUGGUUAUCAGAUGUCUUGUUGUUAACUCUACAUUCUAACACUCCUCACAAUUUCCUCCAAAUCAUGGGAGACUCUGUUUCCAGUAUAUUCUUAGGUAAAGAUCUGACAAUAAGAGAUUCUCACUUGAGAUCUGAAAAGCAGAAGAAAAGGAAAAGCCUUUAUUUUCUGAUGGCAGUUGCAACAGAAAUUUUCCACACUGCUUUUUUGCUACCUUGGAACCAGAAUAGUACAGGAUACUGUGAGCUGUAUUUAUAAGAAGUCAUCAGGAUCUGGACAAUGAUUCUACAAGGAACGGAAGCUGAGCCUGCAUAACUAGACUAUUAUUAAAAGAAAAGUGAGUAGACUUUAAAUUUGGAUAUUAGAGAAUAAACUGUGCACAAGUAAGCCAUCUUCCAAAACAACUCUAAAAACAAUGCAAAAUACAUGGAACACCUAUUUGAAUGCUUUGUAGAAGAGCCAACAGAGAAUUCUGGGGUCUGUGAUUCUCAAAAGAAAAGAAAUGCAUGGAUACAGCUUCUAUGUUCACCUUUGUUUCAAACUUGAGGUCAUUUGCCAAUUGUUAGUGAAGGACAACACAAUAUGAACACAAAGCCCUGAUCUCACUGAGCUAAGGAAGCAGAGAUAUGAAAUCAAGAAUUUCAUAUCAAAGAGAUGAAAAUAAAGGGGAGAAAACUGCUGAAAAGUAAAGCCAAAAAUCUGCAUGAAAUUUUAUUUAGAAAAGUUUGGAUGAAAAAGCUGCUCAUGGGAAGGACAUGUCUUGAAAAAUAGACAAACGCAAAAUACCAGAAAGCAGCAGUUGGAAUGCUAAAGAGAGGGCUGAGCAGAAGUUUUCAGCAGAUUUAUAGUUCUGGGAAGACAGAAGUUCAAGAGGCUGGUAAAGACCUCAGAUUUCAGUGGAGAUUUGUGAAGGUUUACUAUACCAAAGGUACAGUAAGAGGUACCCAGCAUCACCCAUGCAGUGGUUUUAUCAAAAAUAUUUGACCUAAAUCAAGUCACAAACAUACUAUUUAAUAUAAAAUUUAGUUGUUCUGCAAGACAAAAGGCCUGGACUCUUCAAUNNNNNNNNNNNNNNNNNNNNNNNNNNNNNNNNNNNNNNNNNNNNNNNNNNNNNNNNNNNNNNNNNNNNNNNNNNNNNNNNNNNNNNNNNNNNNNNNNNNAAAGGCCUGGACUCUUCAAUGAAUCAGGUAUGAGGAAUGGCAAGAAACUUUAGGAUUGUUAUAGAUUGUGAGAAUUUGAAGGGACAUAACUAAUAAUAAUUCAUCAAACUUGACUGAAUCCUCAAUGGGGUAAAACAGAUCCUUAAUAGACAUUUUUUGCUACAACCGAGGAAAUUUUGCAUGUUGCAACAUGAUUUUGAUUUAAUGCUAAUUUUCUGAAGAGUAACAUAAUGUUGUCUGGUAGGAAAAUGUCCUUGUCUUGGAUGAUUCAUGUUGAAGUAGUUAGGAAUGAAAUGUCUUGAUGUUUCCAGCAUCCAUUUGGACAGAGAAAGUGGAAAAUAGAGCAGAUAGGAGCUUUUAAUUGGUGAAAGUUGGUGAUGAUGCAUAGGUAUUCAUUUCACUCUUCAUUCAGCUUUUCUGAGUCUUUGAAACUUUUCAGAAUAAAAGAUAAACUUUUAAAAAUUUCAAAGCUGACCUCUAAAUUAAAGCAUGUUUUAUUUUUGAAAGCUGAUUUCUCACUUAAAUGAAUUUGACACUGGUCCAAACUAAUUAUCAAAGCCUGAGCCUUUUGAUUGGUACCAUUAAUUGAAAUUUAGAACUGAGAUACUAACUAUUCAGAGUGAAGUGGUUAUCUUGCAAGCAACUUGCUUUUUUCACAAGGUCUGAUCCAAAUUAUUUCGAGUGUUUUUCUUUUNNNNNNNNNNNNNNNNNNNNNNNNNNNNNNNNNNUAUAAAUUAUGCCCUUGGCUUUGGAAACUCUAACAAAAUAGAUGCAAAAAAAUUAAUUACAACAUUGUCAGAAUCAACUAUUAAACAGCAGGAUAUAAGCAUCAUAAAAUUAGCAUUUUCAUCUAAUCAUUCUAGUCAUCUGCUAAUUGCAAACAGACCCUAUAAACAAAUUAUUUUUUAAACCAUCCUUACACAAACCCUUAAUUCAUACUGAACCUUGUGACAUUUGGAGUCGGUCAAAGUUCUGAAAGAGAUAAUCCUUACUUCUCAAAAAGAAAUUAGGAGAAUCAUGGUUUAUUUAUUUUCAAUUCAUACUCACAAAGAAGGUGAAUACUAUGCAAAACAGAUGUUGUUUGCCUUAGUUCUUAUGACUGGGAAUACUUCCAAAGACUGACAUCUUCGAUUGCUCAAUAUAGCACUCCUUUAGCUAAAUCUUGUCAGAAUACAUUUCUUUUCUCUCUUCUCAUUGCAUUCUCACAAGUAUUAAAUAAAAUACUCUUGUUAUACUAAAGAAAGAAAAAGUAGCUCAGUUGUGUCUGACUCUUUGCUACCCCAUGGACUGUAGCCUACCAGACUCCUCCAUCCAUGGAAUUUUCCAAGCACACUGCUGGGCAUACACACCGAGGAAACCAGAAUUGAAAGAGACACAU
rnacentral:lncRNA from 1 species